rnacentral:rRNA from 1 species
UGGGGAAUCUUGCGCAAUGAGCGAAAGCCUGACGCAGCCAUGCCGCGUGAAUGAUGAAGGUCUUAGGAUUGUAAAAUUCUUUCACCGGGGACGAUAAUGACGGUACCCGGAGAAGAAGCCCCGGCUAACUUCGUGCCAGCAGCCGCGGUAAUACGAAGGGGGCUAGCGUUGCUCGGAAUUACUGGGCGUAAAGGGAGCGUAGGCGGACAUUUAAGUCAGGGGUGAAAUCCCGGGGCUCAACCUCGGGAUUGCCUUUGAUACUGGGUGUCUUGAGUGUGAGAGAGGUAUGUGGAACUCCGAGUGUAGAGGUGAAAUUCGUAGAUAUUCGGAAGAACACCAGUGGCGAAGGCGACAUACUGGCUCAUUACUGACGCUGAGGCUCGAAAGCGUGGGGAGCAACAGGAUUAGAUACCCUGGUAGUCCACGCCCGUAAACGAUGAUUUGCUAGUUGUCGGGGAAUUGCAUGCAUUUCGGUGACGCAGCUAACGCUUAAGCAAUCCGCCUGGGGAGUACGGUCGCAAGAUAAAACUCAAAUGAAUUGACGGGGUCAUAGCUGUUUCCUG